UUUUAAAAAUGUAGGUUUAAAAAUGUAGUUUUAAAAAUGUAGCUUUGAACAGAAUUGUAGUUUUAAAAAUGUAGUUAUGAAUGAAAUGCAGUUUUAAAAAGGUAGUUUUGAAUGAAAUGUAACUUUAAGAAUGUAAGUUUAAGAAUGUACUUUUAAGAAUGUAGGUUUGAAUGAAAUGUAGGUUUAAGGAUGUAGUUUUGAACGGGAUGUAGGUUUAAAUGGGAUGUAGGUUUAAAGGGAAUAUAGGUUUAAAUAGGGACCAGCUCAAAGCAAAUGNUUUCUCCUCUUUUUGGGGUUUGUUCCAUCCCAAAUUUUUCUGCUCUUUUGGGGUUAUUUCCAUCACAAUUUUCCCCUUUUUAUGGGUUUUGUGCAAUCCCAGUUUUUUCCUCUUUUUGGGAUUUGCUCCAUCCCAAUUUUCUCCUUUUUUUUGGGGUUUGCUCCAGCCCAAUUUUCUCCUCUUUUUGGGAUUUGUUCCAUUCUUAUUUUCUUUAAUAUCAACCAAUCUCUGCACAAAUCCAGCACAUUUUGAGCACUCAGAGGAGAGGAAUAUCCUGGUGCAGCCUGAGGAGGAAACCCUGGACUCAUUUCCAGCCUUGGGGAAGGAUUAUUUUGAAUUUUUUGAUUUUCUUGUGAGGUGCUGAGGGAUGCUCAAACCUCACCUGUAAUUGAUGUGAAAUUCGGAAUUUUUCAUGUACAGAAUUUUCCUGAAUAUCAACCCAUCUCUUAUUUUCUUUAAUA
rnacentral:lncRNA from 1 species